rnacentral:rRNA from 1 species
CGGUAGCACAGAGAGCUUGCUCUCGGGUGACGAGCGGCGGACGGGUGAGUAAUGUCUGGGAAACUGCCUGAUGGAGGGGGAUAACUACUGGAAACGGUAGCUAAUACCGCAUAAUGUCGCAAGACCAAAGUGGGGGACCUUCGGGCCUCAUGCCAUCAGAUGUGCCCAGAUGGGAUUAGCUAGUAGGUGGGGUAACGGCUCACCUAGGCGACGAUCCCUAGCUGGUCUGAGAGGAUGACCAGCCACACUGGAACUGAGACACGGUCCAGACUCCUACGGGAGGCAGCAGUGGGGAAUAUUGCACAAUGGGCGCAAGCCUGAUGCAGCCAUGCCGCGUGUGUGAAGAAGGCCUUCGGGUUGUAAAGCACUUUCAGCGGGGAGGAAGGCGAUAAGGUUAAUAACCUUGUCGAUUGACGUUACCCGCAGAAGAAGCACCGGCUAACUCCGUGCCAGCAGCCGCGGUAAUACGGAGGGUGCAAGCGUUAAUCGGAAUUACUGGGCGUAAAGCGCACGCAGGCGGUCUGUCAAGUCGGAUGUGAAAUCCCCGGGCUCAACCUGGGAACUGCAUUCGAAACUGGCAAGCUAGAGUCUUGUAGAGGGGGGUAGAAUUCCACGUGUAGCGGUGAAAUGCGUAGAGAUCUGGAG